UCCGUCGUGGUGCAGUGGUAGCCCGCCAGUCCUCUCAUCAUGCCCCGCAACCGCAACCAUCAGAUGCCUGGCGCAUCCAGCAAUUGAGCAAUAGAGCAAUUUCUGGCAUGCAGGGCAACUGACGGCCGCAGUUGUCCUGGCAAAGCUUUGAGAGCUGGACUGGAGACCCGAGUUCGAUUCUCGGCGAUGGAG